rnacentral:rRNA from 1 species
GUGAGGUAAUGGCUCACCAAGGCUACGAUGGGUAGCUGGUCUGAGAGGACGAUCAGCCACACUGGGACUGAGACACGGCCCAGACUCCUACGGGAGGCAGCAGUGGGGAAUCUUGCGCAAUGCGCGAAAGCGUGACGCAGCAACGCCGCGUGGGUGAAGAAGGCCUUCGGGUUGUAAAGCCCUUUCAGCAGGGACGAAGCGAAAGUGACGGUACCUGCAGAAGAAGCGCCGGCUAACUACGUGCCAGCAGCCGCGGUAAUACGUAGGGCGCAAGCGUUGUCCGGAAUUAUUGGGCGUAAAGAGCUCGUAGGUGGUCUGUUACGUCUGCUGUGAAAACCUAGGGCUUAACCCUGGGCCUGCAGUGGAUACGGGCAGACUAGAGGUAGGUAGGGGGAAGAAUGGGAAUUCCCGGUGUAGCGGUGAAAUGCGCAGAUAUCGGGAGGAACACCGGGUGGCGAAAGGCGGUUCUCUGGGCCUUACCUGACACUGAGGAGCGAAAGCGUGGGGAGCGAACAGGAUUAGAUACCCUGGUAGUCCACACCGUAAACGUUGGGCGCUAAGGUGUGGGGUCCUUCCACGGAUUCCGUGCCGCAGCUAACGCAUUAAGCGCCCGCCUGGGGAGUACGGCCGCACGCUAA